UCUCAGUACAGGAAAGAUGGAGCCAGGAAGAUCAUGAUUGCAAGGCCAACCUGAGCUACAGAGUGAGACCACCAGAAAGAGGAAGAAACGUCCCGUUGGUAGGACUUGAGGAGCCACGGUUUCCCUUUCCCUCCUGUUCCGGGUUUGUGGCUGGAGAGGUCAAGGAGCUUGCCUGAGGUCACACAGAAUUCUACACCUGGCAAGAUCCAGCCGUGUUCAUGCAUGUGCAAGUGUGUACCCGUGCAGGUUAGAAGCGGACAUCAUCAGGCGUCUUCCUCAUUGACUCUCUGCCUCAUUUAGGGGUUUCUCUAUAUAGCCCUGGUUGUCCUGGAACUCACUCUGUAGAUCAGGCUGGCCUCGAACUCAGAAAGAAAUCCGCCUGCCUCUGCCUCCGGAGUGCUGGGAUUAAAGGCGUGCACCACGCCCAGCUUCAGGUGUCUUUUUUAAUCAUCCCCCAACUUAUAUCAAGGCAAGGCCACCCACUGGAGCCCCAAGCUCACCAAUCCCAAUACUCUAACUAGAUGUCUCUGUCUCCCAAGAGCUGGGAUGACAGGCCAGCCAUCCCACCUGCCCAGCAUCUGUGUGGGUGAUGUUCGGAGAUGAGAACUCUGGUCUUCAUGUUUCCUUGGAUGGCAUGUUUCUUCAUUAACCAAGACAUCACUGACAUGUUCUUCCCUCUACCGUCCCACAGGGAGCCUGGUAAUUCCCACAGACUUCAGGCCCCGCCCCAGAACAAUGAGGUCUCUGGGCCCCCAGCAGAUAGGAAACACAUGGCCACACAGUCUGUUAGAUUGUCAGGAUCAAAGCAGAACAUCUGGUUCUGACCCCCAGAGGGGCCCCAGCCGGAGCGCCAGCUCCUGUACCACAGUGGAAGGUCAUUUUUUCCAGCCGUUUCGUGGUUCUCCAUCAGGAAGGGAGGGGGGCUGUGAUUGCCCCCCACAGAACAUCUGUCAAUGUCAGGAGAUAUUUUCGGGUUUUCCAGCUGAAAGGAAGGAGGAACUGCUGACAUCUGUGAGGUGGGGGCCCCCCCCCCCGGGGCUAGCGCUGAGCCAGCUGCGGUUGCUCAUGUCAAACAGCAGCUCUGCCCAAACUGAUCUGGGGAAACUGAGGGGGUCCCUCCUGGGGUUCCUAGCUUCAUUAAUAAACGGAUUUAAGAAUGAACU
rnacentral:lncRNA from 1 species